CAAUCAGCUGCAGCUGCUUUCAUUUUUAAAUGGCACGUCUCUCCAUGCUCGUACUGAGAAGACUGAUGUGCCUCAUGAUGAUGGCAAUGAGUCUAUUAUGCAAUGUAGUUUACACAUGAUGUGUGUCAGAGCCGAACCCAAGCCGGAUUAAUCUGUGGGACUUGGAUUUAUACUCUAGCGGAACUGGAAAAGAAUUGAUACCCCGCUCCGGGUCCACGCAGGAAAUCCUUGUGCUGCUACAGGAACAGGAGGACGGACAUGCCUCCGCGGACAUCCAGGGAUCCCCCGAGCCCACUGCCACCCCGAUCACCAUCACCCACCACCAACAUGACCACCAGCAACACCGCCACGACCCAGACCCUCUCCACGGCGAGAAGAGAGCCCCGCUCCCGGGUGUCCAGGCGCUCAUCUCGGGUGCCAACUUCAGCUAUAAGGCUCGCUGAACAGCCCCACGGCCACGGCUCAGGGUGGCUGGGAUCAGCCCCGGUUCAGCCAAUCAAGGAGGGAAAGAGAAUCAAGUAAAGAAUCCGAUGGUGAGGCGGUCAGACAGGCGGUGGGAUUAGAAAACCAUCGGCCGUGACAACACUGACAGACAAGGCAGCGAAAAACCGGAGAGUGUGUCGAUCCGUCCCGGUGUGUCUCCUCCAGAAUCCCCCGUCAGUCAGCCAGUCAGUCAAAAUCACACUAAGACACUGACGGGUGUGUUCCAAGGAGGAUCUCUCUCUCUCUCUCUCUCUCUCUCUCUCUCUCUCUCUCUCUCUCUCUCUCUCUCUCUCUCUCAGUGUGGAUGAGACGGGUGGUGGUGGACGUGGUGGUGUUGGGUGGGUGUGAGGAUGAUACAGAAUAAAUGGGAGGAUGGGAGAGCCACAUUCUGCUGUUCCCUCUUGCGGAUGGAUGAAGGCUACAAUGUGGAUACCAGAAUCGAAGCAGACUAUGUAUAAAGUGAUAGCUCAUUAACGCACCCCCCUUCCCCCUUAAUGCCACUUUGCUCUGCUUACACAAUGGUCUGGGGGAAGGAUCAGAUGCAGGGCAGAGUGGUAUCACCCCCAAGGGUACCUCGACACAGCGGCAUGAUUUGUGUUGUCAGGUGAAUUGUCUGCUUUACCUCUAGAUCUGUCAGGAGGUUAAAGUUCAGCACACUCUAGGAGGGGCUACUCAAGCCUCAUCUAAGUUGUGAACGAGGUUGGACAGUAUAAGCGCCCUUGUCUGACGCCCAGAGACAUGCAGAGAGAUGUAAGGGGAGGAGAGGUGGAGGAGACUCCUGCUUUAAAGAGGUUAUUUAAUUUAUCUGCUUGCUGGUUUCACAUAAUGUGUGUAAAUGAGAUAUAAGGGGCUAUCAAUUUACGGGCUCUAAUUGCCAUAAUCAUCCUCAUCAUCACCGUCGUCGUCAUUAUAAUCAUCAUUAUCAUCUGGUUGCUAUGCUGGGUGUAGACCUGUGUACAGUUAAUCAAUGAGGAACAAGACUUUAUGAAGGUGCCUUUUAUUCUGAAAGGAAGCCAUAUUUCCAGUCUUUUACUCAGAAAUAUUCAGAUAACAUGGGAAAAUAAUGCAAAUUACAUCCUUCCUUUUGUAACAAACUGCCAUGUUUUAAUAACAUUUGAUUAUCCUAUUUUUAAUGCCAAAAGGGCUGAUAGGUGAUUUGACUUAAAAGGUAGCUGUAAUGUCCAAAGCAUGGCAUGAAAACAGACUCGCAGAGAAAGAGGGUGCCACCACCAAUCAUCAAGUCUUUAGCCCGCUUGUACUAGACCAAGCGACACCUUAUUAAACCAUUAGGCCAUAUUUCAUAAUCAUAAGGGGCUCUCAGCCAAAGCAGACCUGAAUCAAUAAUGUGUCAUCUCAGAGUGGAGGCUGCAUGCCAGUCACCGUGCCGCUAUAGAUUUCAUACUCCUGGAUGUAUGUCUUACACAAGAGAUGUGUCUUUAACACUGCACAUCCAUUGAAGAACAAAGGUCCUUCUUAUCCAUCUUUCACCUUGCAAGUGAGAGACAGAGGGUGACAGCACAUCUGCCUGUGAGCGGUGACAACAUGCCACAGCUGUGAGGAGUAUCUCCUCUUGUCUCCUCUCCUCUCCUAUCCUCUCCUCUUCUCUCCUCUCCUCUCCUCUCCUCUCCUCUCCUCUCCUCUCCUCUCCAAUGUCCUGUCCCCAUGUGCAGCUCUAAUGUGACGUUUGCUCUGACGCACGGGCAGUGCUGCUGAAUAGAGGAGUGUAAUUAUGGAGCUCUGUCUGUGUCGGAACCAAUCUGGUGGAUGCCUGCCUCAAAAACAGUGGUGUGCACACUGCACAGCACAGCGUGGGUGUGCCAAUUAAAACAUUGUCUUGAAAACAUAGUAUUCUAAUUACGCUCUGGUCCCCCAGAAAGUGACAGAGGUUGUAGCCUGUGUUACAGGUUUGACAUUUGUAACACGUAAUCACCCCCUUUGAGUCGACUGUCAGCCACAGACAAGGCAUCACUCAGGAUGUAUCUAAUUCAACAUUGUGAGCAUAUUAUGGUAUGUCAGGCAUACUUAGCCUCCUUUGCAAUGUGUGCAGCAUGUCUAAUGUGUUAAUUUCAGGUCUUUAUACUGUACAUACAUACAAUAGAUGCUGUCACUGACAAGAUCCUAACAUACGAAUGACAUCCAUACUGAGGCGGUGGACCACUAUUAUUUCAUUUUAACUGACAUAUCCACCCAAUUCGCUUGUCAGUCAGCAUGUAAAUCUGACUGACAAGGAAAUGUUCCCUUUAUUUUCCUUUAAAGUUCAAAACUCGAAGUGACAUUUUACUCUGAAAUCUUUUCCUGAGGUUGUGUGAAAACUGUUCCUUCAUAUCUGAUAAAACCUGAUAUUUAUACAAUGUGUGCUGUCUUCACAAUUAACUCAAGGGUCAUCACACUAGAAAUUCAUCUGCCAAUCAACUCCAAGUAGGUAAUGUUUUUUGUUUAGUUUGCAUAUUAUGUUGCAUUAUUGCAGAAAUUACCAUCAGAAUAACAACAGUCACAAAGACCAAGAUCUUACAGUUGCAAUUAUGAAAGCUAUACAUUUCUUGCAUUUCUAUUUAUUAAAAGUUAUUUAUCUCA